UAGGGAAUCUUCCGCAAUGGACGCAAGUCUGACGGAGCAACGCCGCGUGAGUGAAGAAGGAUUUCGGUUCGUAAAACUCUGUUGUUAGAGAAGAACAGCGCAUAGAGUAACUGUUAUGCGUGUGACGGUAUCUAACCAGAAAGCCACGGCUAACUACGUGCCAGCAGCCGCGGUAAUACGUAGGUGGCAAGCGUUGUCCGGAUUUAUUGGGCGUAAAGCGAGCGCAGGCGGUCAAUUAAGUCUGAUGUGAAAGCCCCCGGCUCAACCGGGGAGGGUCAUUAGAAACUGGUUGACUUGAGUGCAGAAGAGGAGAGUGGAAUUCCAUGUGUAGCGGUGAAAUGCGUAGAUAUAUGGAGGAACACCAGUGGCGAAGGCGACUCUCUGGUCUGUAACUGACGCUGAGGCUCGAAAGCGUGGGUAGCAAACAGG
rnacentral:rRNA from 1 species